rnacentral:lncRNA from 10 species
UUCCAAAGCCUUGUUAGGUGCAUCGUAUCAUUUUAACUGAGCUCACCCCUGUAAUCUCAACACUUUGAGGGAGACCUAGGUGGGAGGAUUGAGGCAGGAGGAUCACUUUAGCCCAGGAGUUUGACACCAGCCUUUGCAACACAAUGAGACCCCGUGUCUACUAAAAAUUAAAAAAUUAGCUGGGCGUAGUGGCUCAUGUCUGUGGUCCCAGCUACUCCAGAGGCUGUGGCAAGAGGACUGCUUGAAUCUGGGAGGUUGAAGCUGCAGUACGCCAUGAUUGCACCAUUGCACUGCAGACUGGGUGACAGAGCAAGACUGUGCCUUGGGAGAAAAAAAUGUGUUCCAAGUCACAUAGCCACAAAGGAAGUGAGAGACAGCAUUUGACACCAGGACUAUCCAAAUCUAAAACCUGUGCUCCUGAGGCUACAUCCCUGAAAACUAAGAAUUGAUGUCAUUCUUCUUCAGCCUUUAUCUACUGUUGAUUACAAGGGACCAUUCAUUUGCAGAUAAAUAU